rnacentral:rRNA from 1 species
UACGUAGGGGGCAAGCGUUGUCCGGAUUUACUGGGCGUAAAGCGCACGUAGGCGGAUUGCUAAGUCAGGGGUGAAAUCCUGGAGCUCAACUCCAGAACUGCCUUUGAUACUGGCGAUCUCGAGUCCGGGAGAGGUGAGUGGAACUGCGAGUGUAGAGGUGAAAUUCGUAGAUAUUCGCAAGAACACCAGUGGCGAAGGCGGCUCACUGGCCCGGUACUGACGCUGAGGUGCGAAAGCGUGGGGAGCAAACAGG